ACAGUGGCAGGGCUGGAAGACAGUCAUACCCCGAGGAAAAUGUGACCCCCAAAGAAGUCAGGGCUACUGCAGGGCAAUCACUAGACACAUCUGGUUCCACCAAGUCUUAGGGGAUCCCGUUAGACGGCAGCAGUCCCUCUGAUGGCUUCUUCCUGUCGUUGGGCCACUCUGAGGCAUGAGAAAGAAGAGGUCCGGGGGGCAAUGGUGGGUCAGUGGUGCAGAAGAGCCUGGGUGGAGGUGGGCGGUGAUGGCCUGGGCUCGCUCUGUGGCUCUCAGGGAGGCUGCCUUUCCUUCCACCUCGACACACCGGCCCUCUCCCACAUUUUACUUUUCAGAUGGAGGCUCCACUUUUUAGUGUCAGCUGCUUUUUCACCGGUCCCGUUCCCUCUACCACCAACCUUGUCAUUUGACUUGAGUAUCCUGGUCUUCGUCAUUUGGCUUGACUAUUCUGGUCUUCAUUCCCUGUCCCUUGAGGUGUGGGUGUGGCAGGUCCCCUAUGCACUCAUGUCCAUCAGCAUGACAAUUGCAAUCAAGUUCUGCUUUUUAGGUUCCAAAGGAAGCUGGAGAUGACCUAGAGCCUUUGGCUUCUCCGCCUAACAUCCGCUUGGGCAGCAGGGAAGGGGAGAGAAGGAGAACACGAAGUGAGGCAUGGGAAUGAGACAAUGGUGGGAAAAGAGGACGCUGGAAGGAAGAUCUACUCUUCCAGUCUGCAGGUGGCCCCCGAGGAGCCGCAGUAGGUCAUGCAUCCCCAAAGAACAUUCAAGUCUGAGCCUCAAGGAGCCUCUGCGACUCGGUGUCUAGAUCCAGGAAAUGGAGAAUGAGCCGUGACUUUGGAUGCUUCACUCUUGUCCAUCAGGCUCGGAAUUGGUGAGCAUCUCCCACAUUACCGUCUCCAACGGAACAAGGUGCCCCAUUGGACAUUUCCUCUGCAUGGACCAGCCAUUCUCCAAAUCUGCCCCCAUGUCACCCCAGCUCCCCAUCGCAGUCACUUCUCACUCCUUGUCCCCUGUCCCCCUGAGUGACAGGACUUUUGCCAGUUAGGUCCUGUCCCUGUUUCUGAUCUUGGGUCCAUUCCCCAUGGUCCCUUUCUUGCUUGUGCCUUGGGAUCUCAGGCCUGUUGAAGUAGGAGGCAGGACUCAACUUCAGACCAGAUUGAAGACUGGCUGACACAGAAGAGGCACCAAAAGCACCUCUCUCUCCAUAAGACAUGCCCACCAGUGCCAUGACAGUUUACCAUUGCUAUGGCAAUGCCCAGAAGUUCUCACCCCUUUUCCAGACAUUUCUGCAUAAUCUACCCCUCAAUUGGCAUGUGAUCAAAAGUGGGUGUCAAAAUGACUGUGGAACUGUCCCUGAGCUGCUACUCUUGACAUGCUGGUUACAGGGUAGCCCGGCUCUGCAGGGACAGUCACGGAGCUGAAAAACUGCUGCCUAAUGAAGCUGUUUUCUUCUA
rnacentral:lncRNA from 1 species